AUUGUAUUGUUUCUUAUGAC
rnacentral:miRNA from 1 species